rnacentral:miRNA from 1 species
AGUGCUCUCAAGGCUCUAAAA